CAGUAGAGACAGGAAGGAAACGGAAAGGAGAGAAAAGUUGGCAAAGGAGAGACAGCAGGAACAGGAAGGAUGUCUCGGGCCAGGGUUUAAGUUGGCAAAAGAGAAGAGAUCAAAGAGAGGGACAUUCUUACGUCAGAAGAGGAGGACUACUGAGGGAGUGCAAGUUAAAGUGGGAGGUGGGUGGGGGAGAGUUGUGGAAGAGGCGAGUGACGCGAGCAUCACAGCAUUACAGGCCACUGCCUUCUCGGAGGGAAAAGCGGGUUGUGGCGUGAACUGUCAGUCAUUAAAGAAGCGAAAUGAUAAUAUUAACAUGUUGAACAUUUUCCCCAUGGCAGACAACGUGCUAGGUGCUUUAAGCAGAUUACAUGAUUCACUGCUCACAGGACAUCAAGGAGGAAGAUACCAGCAUAAUCCCCAAUAAGCAGAUGAGGAAAAUGCGGCUUCGGGAUGCCACACACUCGGCGAACAUGCAGCCAGGAAUGAAUCCAAGCUGUCUACAUUUUGGAGAUACUUCCCUAAGUAGGAAGGACAUUAUUGAAACUAAAGAGAUAAAAUUCCUGUGGCAAGGAAGGGGCAGGAUUCUUUGGGGGUCACAGAGCAUAUAUACACCAGGGAGUUGGGAGGUGGGAAAAGAGAUAAAUCAAGAAAGGAGUCAGAACAGGAAGAGGGAAACAGACAGACAGACAGACUUGGGCUGUGAAUGGAGGAGCAGGGAGCCUUACUGUGGCGAAUCAGAGAGUUUGACACCAGGACUUCCCCGCCGCUGUCUCGGAGGGGCAGGUGCAGUAGCUGUCUGGCUCCAUAGUCAUCCUCAUUUUGUUCAACAUGGCUUGAUUAAUCUCCUUAGCCUUGCUUUUCACCCAAGGGUACUCUGCAGGGAAUAUGUUCAUUUAUGAAUCAAUCACCCACGCAUUCUUCUAAAUGUAUACGCCUGUUAAAUCAUAGUCGCCUGCAACCUUAGGGAGCAUGGGGCUUGAUACUCUGAGGGCCUGAUAUGUUCGGUUUUGCAUAGAGAGGUUUUGUCGCUCACUUCCUCAGAUGUUUUGGUCGUACAAUUUACUGCCCUUGACUCGGGAACUCUGUUUACAUAUGAUUUAAUUUUAGCUGUAUAUUUUGUCAAGUUCACGUUAGUUCUUCACCAGCACUGAUCAAAUAACUUUCUAAAGAAAAGAUAGAAAGGAAGGAGUUUUAGAUGCACUUAGCAAGAGCUGACACGCCAAUAAAUGAAAAGAAAAAAAAAGAACAUAAACAGCAUCCAAGGUAUAGGGAAAACUGUAUGUGUGAGGCUGAGGGUUCUGAGGAGAGUGAGCCUCGGUGUGACCGAGCCACUUCUCUCCCAUCAGCCCCAAGCAGGGGCUGCAGGCAUUCCCAGCCUCAUGCAGUAAGAGCUUACACAAAUGGUGGUCAUAGAAUAUUUGCUUUCUGCCAAUCGUAGCAUCAAA